AUUCCUUGUCGGGUAAGUUCCGACCUGCACGAAUGGCGUAACGACUUCCCCGCUGUCUCCAACAUCGACUCAGCGAAAUUGAAUUGCCUGUCAAGAUGCAGGCUUCCCGCGGUUAGACGGAAAGACCCCGUGCACCUUUACUACAGCUUCACACUGGCAUCAGGCACAACAUGUGCAGGAUAGGUGGUAGACUUUGAAGCAGGAACGCUAGUUCCUGUGGAGUCAUCCUUGAGAUACCACCCUUGUUCUGCUUGAUGUCUAACCGCGGUCCGUUAUCCGGAUCCGGGACCCUGUGUGGCGGGUAGUUUGACUGGGGCGGUCGCCUCCUAAAGCGUAACGGAGGCGCGCGAAGGUUGGCUCAGAGCGGUCGGAAAUCGCUCGUUGAGUGCAAUGGCAGAAGCCAGCCUGACUGCAAGACUGACAAGUCGAGCAGAG
rnacentral:rRNA from 1 species